AGAGUUUGAUCCUGGCUCAGGAUGAACGCUAGCGGCAGGCCUAACACAUGCAAGUCGAGGGGUAACAGGGGAGUUCGCUUCCGCUGACGACCGGCGCACGGGUGAGUAACGCGUUUGUAACCUACCUUUAUCUGGAAGAUAGCCCGAAGAAAUUCGGAUUAAUAUUCCAUAAUACUAUAGUUUGGCAUCAUUUUAUAGUUAAAGCUCCGGCGGAUAAAGAUGGGCAUGCGUAACAUUAGUUUGUUGGUGAGGUAAGAGCUCACCAAGACUACGAUGUUUAGGGGGUCUGAGAGGAUAGUCCCCCACACUGGUACUGAGACACGGACCAGAUCCUACGGGAGGCAGCAGUGAGGAAUAUUGGUCAAUGGGCGAAAGCCUGAACCAGCCAUGCCGCGUGAAGGAAGACGGCUCUAUGAGUUGUAAACUUCUUUUAUACGAGAAGAAACCCUACUACGUGUAGUAGGCUGACGGUAUCGUAUGAAUAAGCAUCGCUAACU
rnacentral:rRNA from 1 species